CAAACCUCAAGCCUUGCUUGGUGAUGGGUCCCGCCCGCGUGGCGGGCCCGAAACUCGUGGGCGCCCCAGGCCGGACUCCAAGCGUAGCAAAACCCUCGCUUGCGGACGACCGGUCAGAGGCCGCCCCGGACCCCCAAAUUUUAUCAAUGG
rnacentral:misc_RNA from 1 species